rnacentral:tRNA from 1 species
AGCAUCGGCUGGGAAUCGAACCCGGGCCGCCCGCGUGGCAGGCGAGAAUUCUACCACUGAACCACCGAUGU